GUUUCAGUUCGCUGAAAAGCAUCUAUGGAUGAGUUUGUCAGUUCCAAAUUGACUGAGUGGCAGCUACCGGGGCUGAUUGAAAGAUGCCAGGGGAGAAGUCGCCCUGACGCUGCUGCCCAUCCUGCUCCCUCCGCCUGUGUUUAAAAAGGGCAGGAAAUUGGUCCGGGCGAGUAUUCAGGAGGUGAAGAGAGCCUUCAUCGAUGUUAAGCCCGUCGGAGCUAACAUGGUGGAAUACUUGCAGCAGGCAGAAUCACCUACCCAUUUGUGCUGCUGCUCACAGAGCCUCUUGUUCUAUGUAUAUAUCACUCUCUCAUAGCUGUCCCCCUCAC